rnacentral:rRNA from 1 species
GAUGAACGCUGGCGGCGUGCCUAAUUCAUGCAAGUAGAACGCUGAAGGAGGAGCUUGCUCUUCUGGAUGAGUUGCGAACGGGUGAGUAACGCGUAGGUAACCUGCCUGGUAGCGGGGGAUAACUAUUGGAAACGAUAGCUAAUACCGCAUGACAACAGUUAUUGCAUGAUAACUGUUUAAAAGGGGCAACUGCUCCACUACCAGAUGGACCUGCGUUGUAUUAGCUAGUUGGUGAGGUAACGGCUCACCAAGGCGACGAUACAUAGCCGACCUGAGAGGGUGAACGGCCACACUGGGACUGAGACACGGCCCAGACUCCUACGGGAGGCAGCAGUAGGGAAUCUUCGGCAAUGGACGGAAGUCUGACCGAGCAACGCCGCGUGAGUGAAGAAGGUUUUCGGAUCGUAAAGCUCUGUUGUAAGAGAAGAACGAGUGUGAGAGUGGAAAGUUCACACUGUGACGGUAUCUUACCAGAAAGGGACGGCUAACUACGUG